GAUGAACGCUGGCGGCGUGCCUAAUACAUGCCAGUCGAGCGAACAGACGAGGAGCUUGCUCCUCUGACGUUAGCGGCGGACGGGUGAGUAACACGUGGAUAACCUACCUAUAAGACUGGGAUAACUUCGGGAAACCGGAGCUAAUACCGGAUAAUAUAUUGAACCGCAUGGUUCAAUAGUGAAAGACGGUUUUGCUGUCACUUAUAGAUGGAUCCGCGCCGCAUUAGCUAGUUGGUAAGGUAACGGCUUACCAAGGCAACGAUGCGUAGCCGACCUGAGAGGGUGAUCGGCCACACUGGAACUGAGACACGGUCCAGACUCCUACGGGAGGCAGCAGUAGGGAAUCUUCCGCAAUGGGCGAAAGCCUGACGGAGCAACGCCGCGUGAGUGAUGAAGGUCUUCGGAUCGUAAAACUCUGUUAUUAGGGAAGAACAAAUGUGUAAGUAACUAUGCACGUCUUGACGGUACCUAAUCAGAAAGCCACGGCUAACUACGU
rnacentral:rRNA from 1 species